AGUGAGUGUGUGUCUUGCAUGCUUAGUAUUUUGAGUGCGUUCUCUUAUAUGCACUGUAAGUGCGCAAAUUGAGACAUGCCAAGUAAAAUGUUGCUAAUGACUGCGCCCAGUGUAUAAUAAUACAUGCUAAGGUGGGAAACGUAGGUGCAAGUCAAUAGCAGAUAGACUGCAGCUGGCGGAGAUUUUAACUACGCUAGGCUAACCAACUAGCAGUGGUAUGUUGAUGAGGCAUCGACGAGUCCCGCCUAGCUUGUAAAGAGUUUUACGUCGCACCAGACACCAGCAAUGUGGUAACGGUGCAUCCAGUUUCUGUCUUGGUGUUUAAAUCCCAGAAAUGUUGGGGUUUUGCACUUUGUUCAGCGGUCGUUGAAUGCACCGUAGUUGUGUGCUGAGAUGCAAAAGUUUUUGGGCGAGGGAAGCACUAACUCUACAGUCAAGGAUCAUCUUACGUUAUUAUUCAACACUGUUACCACAUUUACCUGCUGCCUUCGGCACAAGGAUACUUCCGCGUGGUGAUGGGAGGACUGGGGAUCGAACCAGCAACUUCCAGGUUGGCGCGACCACUCUACCACCUGAGCCAUGCCGCCCCGAGUCGAGAGCUGCUCAAGUCUAGAGCAAGUACAAGUGAUGCGAGCUGAUACGUCCGCGCCUGACCUCCUGUCUCCUGGGGAGUCACUGUGUUCCUGAGAGUUCAGUGUUGGAUUGUUUGUGGAUCUCUCGGCUCCAGCAGCGGAAGGGGGUCCAAUUGUACCAAAAGACGGCAAGUAGCUGAUCACACUUACUUCACCAUAAGAGACACAGCUGUGCAAAUGCACUGCACAACCCAAAGUAAGCAAAUGCUUAUGAAACCGCCAAUCAAUAUCAAGAGAAUACACCCAAGUGGUAAUCAAAUUAACGCUAUCUUCUUCCAUGCUGUCCUCAGCCACGACCUCUGAACCUAUGUGGAAAUAUGGGUGGUCCUUGGUUUACCAGGAAACGCUCCUAGGAAUUCAUUCAAAACGCAAUUUUGGUUCGUAAACACGAGACUCGCCCGAGAAGUACUGUCGUUACGGCGUAAGAGCUCCAUCGGUAGAAUACACGCGUGUGGCUUGCCCACACAGCCGCGCUGAGGAAGAAUAACAUCGCUUACUAGUUCACGUUUUACACUUGGUUAUGUAUCCCAAACGGCGGUGCGGCAAAGAAAAGGAAAGCCAUCACCACUGAAGAAAUGAACGUCAUAAAAAGCUCCGAGAGAGGACAGACGCUCUUUUAGAUCAAGAUGAUUGACUGCUAUUGAGCUGGUGCACUGUUACAAGGAGAUGUGGGAUGGGAAGACGAGCCUGGGACAACAUUUUAAGAUGGCACAAAGUCAUGCAAGACAACCACAGCGAUAAAAGUAUUAUUACUCUUGUAUGUCCUUCUUCCACUUCACUGUACUUGUACUUUUCAUGUGUUCUGUGUACCGUGUGAGUGACCUAGGAGUUCAUUCAGGGUCACACUCAAACCAGACUUCCAUCACAGCCAAAGAGACGAACCCGAGGACCACCUGUAUCACAACAUAACACCCGUGAAGACCCAGUAGAAAUGUUGGACCAGAUGCCAACACACACAACGCUCCGAGGAAUGACGGACUUUGAAAGAGAGGCGAUGCAGUCACACAUCUGUUUGGAACGUUAGUCCUGGAAAGCAGAUGGGCUUGGAAAUUGGUGGCUAUACAAAUUGGGUGGAAUUUAUGAACUGAUGGUCAGCAUGUGAAGGAGAGAAACGUGUUGCUUUGAAAGGUGUAGAACAAACCCUUGAUUAUGGGAUGCCGUGACCUGCUUCUAUCCAUACCUGUCAACACUCCUUUGGCCUUCUUUCCCCUCGCCUUCUCCUUGAAACAUGUUUCCAUAAAUUUGCCGUAUUUUAACUUUGAUCCAAAAAGAAUAAAAGAAAGAGCCCGCUGUAGAAUUUCCCUUAUUUUCUGGAAAAGUUCCCCGACAGCCUUACAGUACCUCGGAUUUCGUUUGUGUUCCAAAAGGUCAGACAUAUUUUUAAUAACGUAAAUGCAAUGAUCCGUUCCAGGCACUGAACCACCGAGGGCCGCACACUGAAAAAUCAAAAGCUGUUUUUUUUUAAAACCAACCCAAACAAAAUAUUCCAUACAAUGUAUAUAUAUAUAUAUACUGCAUAUACAUAUAUUUACACAUAUAAAAUAUAUGUAUUCAUUUUAUCAGUGAUAAUAAUAUUAUUAUUCUUUUGAACUGUUUCUCCUUGCAUUACUUGUUGACUGUUUUUUUUUUAUUUUACAAAUAUAUCAACGUUCUACAGUCUACGUUUUGUUCUAAUACUAAUAUGACUUAUCCAUCCAUUUUCUAUACCGCUUCUCCUCAUUAGGGUCGUGUGGGCAUGCUGGAGCCUAUCCCAGCUGACUUCGGGCAACAGGCGGGGUACAACCUGGACUGCUGUCCAGCCAAUCGCAAAGCGGCAUAGAAAAUGGAUGGAUGGAUGGAUAAUAUGAUUAUUAUUCUCAUAAUAUUUUGACUUUAUUAUCAUAACAUUAUCGCAUUCACCCAACCUCAUUUUCCUAAAAUUUCAACUUCAUUCUUUGUUUGGUUUGUUUCUUACAUUACAACUUUUUUCCUGUAAUAUUUCAACUUUAUGCGUUUUUUUUCUGUUAAUAUAAUGACUUUACUACCUUAAUGUUUUGUCUUUAUUCUUGUCAAAUUACUGCUUUUUUCCAUUUUUGCUGUUGCUUUUUUUAAAUGUUAUUGAUUAAUCGUAUUUUUAGAAUGUGCCAAAGGCCAGUAAAAUAGCAGUCGCCCCCGGGCCACACUUUGGACACCCCUGCGCUAAAACUAUGAAGAAAAAUCAAUUUUAUGUAGAAACCAGAUGAACCAAUUUCAGUAGAAAGUGCGUGUGAAUGCUGAAAUGAAAUGUGUUUCAAUGCGUUCAGCGACUGAGGAUGGAACCAGCAACCACCAGGGUGGGAGACGAUCACUCUCUGACCUGAGACAUGCCGCCAUGCACAGAAUAAGCACAAUGUUAGGAUUCAUUUGAAAUGUAAGAAUCAUUGAGCCUGCAUGUCCUCAAUGAACUGAACAUUUCCAUGUUGCUUUGGUCUGAAGUGGUUCACAAGUGAGGGGUGGUUAGCAGGGGGAAAAUGGAAACGUUUGAAUGUAAAAAUGCAGACAAAAUGUUAAAAUGCAUAAAUAAGUCGAAUUAUUACGGUGGGAUCGGGGACUGAACGAGGGUUGGGAAACAACCACUUCUUAACCGAUUCAAAGCAAACCGAUGUCAAAAUGUUUCAUUCAUUCCGGGCACGUUGGCUAUCUAGCAGGUCUUUAAAAUUCUUACAUUUGCUGUAAUUUUAUCAUUUCUUUGACAAUUUUGUCAUUGAAAAUGAAUGGCCAAGUUAUUUGGCAACCCCUUCUGGUGGAAAAAAACAUGUAGCAUUUUCCGUUACUGUGACGUUCUACUUAUACUGAGGGGGGGGGCGUGGCUCAGAAGGCAGAGUGGCCGUUUCCAAACCUGAUUGGUUGCUGGUUCCAUCCUCAGUCGGUGAAUCGGUUUCAGCGCAUUUCUAGGAUAUUUCAACAUUUGGCUCCGGCAUUCACACGCGAUGGUUGCUGGUUCAAUCGGCAGUCUGGAAUCAUUCAACUUACUGAUAUAGUUCAACAUUCAGUCUGCAUUUUGGCUGUCCAACAUUUCAAAUCCUGCCGCUUUUUUUGUCCGCUGAACAGGACAAACAGGACAAAAUUCCCACACUUCCCGUAAUUCGAUAUUUUCGGUGACAUGUUUUUCCAUUGAAAAUUAACGGACAAAUUAAUUUUCCGUUGAACAUUAGAUGAAAGAUUGCACUUGGCAUGGCUCAGGGCGUAGAGUGGUCGUCCCCCAGCCUGAUGGUUGCUGGUUCCAUCCUGAACACGCAAUUUCUGCUGAAUUUGCUUCAUCAAGAAUUCCUUUUCUACCGGUAAAACUAGAAUUGUUCUACUUUAAGAGUGUCGUGUUAAUAUUUUGGGGUGUCUGGAACAGAUUCAUUGGGUUUACAUUGCUUCUGAUGGAAACAAACUGGUUUUAGAGGGACUUUGUGGAACACAUCAAUCAGGAAAACUGUAUUGUUGACAGGUAUGCUUCUAUCACAGAAUUGUAUUGUUUUCUUCUUCUACUUGCAACCAGCGUGUUAGCUAGCAGGAGCGAGAAAGUGUCAGACGCAUGUGUUCAAUAAUGCAUCAAGGAGACUCCAGUUGCUUGUUCUUCCUCCCAUGCUUUUUGUGUUGUUGUUGACUGUCUCUCUCUGCUGCCGUGAUUUACACAAACCAUUCCUGAGCUGCUGCCCAGAAGAACUGAUUUACAGUGUAUCAGGCACAGCUUUGUUAUGACAGGCUCCAAGGGUAAGGAAAAGCAUGGAGCCUCGCAGAACAAAGUAGUCAGAUUACAGGACAUCAAAAAGUGAACUUUUGAACUCGGCAAACGACGCCUUGCCCUUUAGGAUAGAGGUCAACCCUCCUUGUGUAUAAUAUCCCACUCAAGUUCAAUUUGCCAUUUCUGCAGAGAGAUCUGGGAAGUGCUUUUUUUAUUUUCAUACUCCAACAGCUUUCCUCUCCUUUCUGAUUCCAUUUAGUCACGCUAUGUGCCGGCUAACCUAUGCUGGCCGUGCACUGAGAGCAGAAGGCUCUCAUUUCAGCUCUGGCAGAAAGAGUGCCGAUGAGCUCAUCCUCCUGCAGGAGCUGGAUGCGGUGGGCGAUGCACUCCAAGGCUUGUUAGGGCUUCGAGGU